rnacentral:rRNA from 1 species
UACAGAGGGGGCAAGCGUUGUUCGGAAUUAUUGGGCGUAAAGAGCUCGUAGGCGGUUCGUCGCGUCGGCUGUGAAAACCCGGAGCUCAACUCCGGGCCUGCAGUCGAUACGGGCGGACUUGAGUGUUGCAGGGGAGACUGGAAUUCCUGGUGUAGCGGUGAAAUGCGCAGAUAUCAGGAGGAACACCGGUGGCGAAGGCGGGUCUCUGGGCAACUACUGACGCUGAGGAGCGAAAGCGUGGGGAGCGAACAGG